rnacentral:rRNA from 1 species
AGCGAACGCUGGCGGCAGGCUUAACACAUGCAAGUCGAGCGGGCAUCUUCGGAUGUCAGCGGCAGACGGGUGAGUAACCCGUGGGAACGUACCCUUCGGUUCGGAACAACUCUGGGAAACUGGAGCUAAUACCGGAUACGCCCUUAUGGGGAAAGGUUUACUGCCGAAGGAUCGGCCCGCGUCUGAUUAGCUAGUUGGUGGGGUAACGGCCUACCAAGGCGACGAUCAGUAGCUGGUCUGAGAGGAUGAUCAGCCACACUGGGACUGAGACACGGCCCAGACUCCUACGGGAGGCAGCAGUGGGGAAUAUUGGACAAUGGGCGCAAGCCUGAUCCAGCCAUGCCGCGUGAGUGAUGAAGGCCUUAGGGUUGUAAAGCUCUUUUGUCCGGGACGAUAAUGACGGUACCGGAAGAAUAAGCCCCGGCUAACUUCGU